GUCUCGGUAGUCUAAAGGCUUAGGACGCUCGCACGGAAUGCAAGAGAUCCGGGUUCGACUCCCGGCCGAGGUA
rnacentral:tRNA from 1 species